UAUUGCACAAUGGGGGAAACCCUGAUGCAGCGACGCCGCGUGAGUGAUGAAGUAUUUCGGUAUGUGAAGCUCUGUCAGCAGGGAAGAUNAUGACGGUACCUGACUAAGAAGCUCCGGCUAAAUACGUGCCAGCAGCCGCGGUAAUACGUAUGGAGCAAGCGUUAUCCGGAUUUACUGGGUGUAAAGGGAGCGCAGACGGCAGGGCAAGUCUGAUGUGAAAGUCCGGGGCUCAACCCCGGGACUGCAUUGGAAACUGUCCGGCUAGAGUGCAGGAGAGGUAAGUGGAAUUCCUAGUGUAGCGGUGAAAUGCGUAGAUAUUAGGAGGAACACCAGUGGCGAAGGCGGCUUACUGGACUGUAACUGACGUUGAGGCUCGAAAGCGUGGGGAGCAAACAG
rnacentral:rRNA from 1 species